rnacentral:ncRNA from 1 species
GAAUCAACACCGGGGAAACUUACCAGGACCAGAUGUUUUUUAUGACUGACAGGCUUCGGGUCUUUCAGGAUAUUGUUUUUGGUGGUGCAUGGCCGUUGGUGGUGCGUGGGUUGACCUGUCUAGCGUUGAUUCAGCUAACGAGCGAGAUUAUCGCCAAUUAUUUACUUUGCCGAAGUCCUUCGGUUAAAGUUCUAAUUGGGACUCCCUGCGAUUUUAGCAGGUGGAAGAGGGUAGCAAUAACAGGUCCGUGAUGCCCUUUAGAUGCUCUGGGCUGCACGCGUGCUACAAUGUUAGGAUCAAUAGGACUGCGAGCCUGAGAGGGUGCGCUACUCUUAUAAUCCCUAACGUAGUUGGGAUUGACGUUUGUAAUCAGCGUCAUGAACCAGGAAUCCCUUGUAAAUGUGUGUCAACAACGCACGUUGAAUACGUCCCUGCCCUUUGUACACACCGCCCGUCGCUCCUACCGAUUGGAUGACUCGGUGAAAUCACCGGAUGCUUACGAGCAGAAAGUGAUUAAAUCACGUUAUCUAGAGGAAGGAGAAGUCGUAACAAGGUAACGGUAGGUGAACCUGCCGUUGGAUCAGUU